rnacentral:rRNA from 1 species
AGAGUUUGAUCCUGGCUCAGAAUCAACGCUGGCGGCGUGCCUAACACAUGCAAGUCGAACGAGAAAGUGGAGCAAUCCAUGAGUAAAGUGGCGACCGGGUGAGUAACACGUGACUAACCUACCCUCGAGUGUGGAAUAACAUCGGGAAGCCGAUGCUAAUACCGCAUAACAUCGCAAGAUCAAAGGAGCAAUCCGCUUGAGGAGGGGGUCGCGGCUGAUUAGCUAGUUGGCGGGGUAACGGCCCACCAAGGCGAAGAUCGGUAGCCGGCCUGAGAGGGCGCACGGCCACACUGGAACUGAAACACGGUCCAGACUCCUACGGGAGGCAGCAGUGGGGAAUUUUGCGCAAUGGGGGAAACCCUGACGCAGCAACGCCGCGUGGAGGAUGAAGCCCCUUGGGGCG